UACGGGGGGGGCAAGCGUUGUUCGGAAUUACUGGGCGUAAAGGGCUCGUAGGUGGCCAACUAAGUCAGACGUGAAAUCCCUCGGCUUAACCGGGGAACUGCGUCUGAUACUGGAUGGCUUGAGAUUGGGAGAGGGAUGCGGAAUUCCAGGUGUAGCGGUGAAAUGCGUAGAUAUCUGGAGGAACACCGGUGGCGAAGGCGGCAUCCUGGACCAACACUGACACUGAGGGGCGAAAGCCAGGGGAGCAAACGGG
rnacentral:rRNA from 1 species